rnacentral:misc_RNA from 1 species
GAUGAAGAACGCAGCGAAAUGCGAUAAGUAAUGUGAAUUGCAGAAUUCAGUGAAUCAUCGAAUCUUUGAACGCACAUUGCGCCCGCGAGUAUUCUCGCGGGCAUGUCUGUCCGAGCGUCAUUUCAACCCUCAGGGCCCGCCUGCUUGCAGGCGCGGCGCUGGUGUUGGGGAUCGGCUACCCUGCCGUCCCCCAAAUACAGUGGCGGUCUCGCUGCAGCCUCCCCUGCGUAGUAGCAACACUCGCAUGCGGAGCGCGGCGCGGCCACGCCGUAAAACCCCCGACUUUCUGAACGUUGACCUCGGAUCAGGUAGGAAUACCCGCUGAACUUAAGCAUAUCAAUAAGCGGAGGA